UUCAUGUUCUCGUGGACUGAAGGCCAUUUCUUGAUUCGGUCUUUCACAUGCCCACGAAUAUAGGGUAUAUGGUACAUGUUGCUCGGAACAUAGGAAAACGUUAGCCAUUGAACCAAAUAAACGUUUUUGUUGCUUGGAUCCUAUUUUCUUGGAUUUACUAUGAAGGAUUGGUGGCUUGGCUACAAGAUGAAGAUAGAUUCCCAUGCUUUAUCAAUGGGUAUAUGGCACCUCUUCGGAACAUAAGAAAACGUUAGCUAGGUUUGCUAAUUUCAUUUUAUUUGGUCCAUUUUUUGCACGAUUCUUUGCUAUUGAGCUGAAGAAACCAUUUUGUUGCUUGGAUUCUUUUGUAUUGGGUUCACCAAGGAGGUCAAAAAUGGGGAUCUGACUGCAAGAAGAAGAUAGGAACCUCUUCAUAACUAAAACCAAUCUUGCUACGAGAUAUCUUUGAUGGCAG